AUGAACGCUGGCGGCGUGCCUCAUACAUGCAAGUCGAGCGAACAGAUGAGGAGCUUGCUCCUCUGACGUUAGCGGCGGACGGGUGAGUAACACGUGGAUAACCUACCUAUAAGACUGGGAUAACUUCGGGAAACCGGAGCUAAUACCGGAUAAUAUAUUGAACCGCAUGGUUCAAUAGUGAAAGACGGUUUUGCUGUCACUUAUAGAUGGAUCCGCGCCGCAUUAGCUAGUUGGUAAGGUAACGGCUUACCAAGGCAACGAUGCGUAGCCGACCUGAGAGGGUGAUCGGCCACACUGGAACUGAGACACGGUCCAGACUCCUACGGGAGGCAGCAGUUGGGAAUCUUCCGCAAUGGGCGAAAGCCUGACGGAGCAACGCCGCGUGAGUGAUGAAGGUCUUCGGAUCGUAAAACUCUGUUAUUAGGGAAGAACAAAUGUGUAAGUAACUAUGCACGUCUUGACGGUACCUAAUCAGAAAGCCACGGCUAACUACGUG
rnacentral:rRNA from 1 species